rnacentral:rRNA from 1 species
GGGUCCGUAGGCGGUUUAAUAAGUCAGUGGUGAAAGCCCAUCGCUCAACGGUGGAACGGCCAUUGAUACUGUUAAACUUGAAUUAUUAGGAAGUAACUAGAAUAUGUAGUGUAGCGGUGAAAUGCUUAGAGAUUACAUGGAAUACCAAUUGCGAAGGCAGGUUACUACUAAUGGAUUGACGCUGAUGGACGAAAGCGUGGGUAGCGAACAGGAUUAGAUACCCUGGUAGUCCACGCCGUAAACGAUGGAUACUAGCUGUUGGAAGCAAUUUCAGUGGCUAAGCGAAAGUGAUAAGUAUCCCACCUGGGGAGUACGUUCGCAAGAAUGAAACUCAAAGGAAUUGACGGGGGCCCGCACAAGCGGUGGAGCAUGUGGUUUAAUUCGAUGAUACGCGAGGAACCUUACCAAGGCUUAAAUGUAGAUUGACCGGUUUGGAAACAGAUCUUUCGCAAGACAAUUUACAAGGUGCUGCAUGGUUGUCGUCAGCUCGUGCCGUGAGGUGUCAGGUUAAGUCCUAUAACGAGCGCAACCCCUGUUGUUAGUUGCCAGCGAGUCAUGUCGGGAAACUCUACAAGACUGCCAGUGC